rnacentral:rRNA from 1 species
UACGUAGGUGGCAAGCGUUGUCCGGAUUUAUUGGGUUUAAAGGGUGCGUAGGCGGUUCCAUAAGUCAGUGGUGAAAUACAAUAGCUUAACUAUUGAGGUGCCAUUGAUACUGCGGAACUUGAGUACAGACGAGGUAGGCGGAAUUGACGGUGUAGCGGUGAAAUGCUUAGAUAUCGUCAAGAACACCGAUAGCGAAGGCAGCUUACCAGACUGUAACUGACGCUGAGGCACGAAAGUGUGGGGAUCAAACAGG